rnacentral:rRNA from 1 species
UACGGGGGGAGCAAGCGUUGUUCGGAUUUACUGGGCGUAAAGGGCGCGUAGGCGGCCACCGCAAGUCGACUGUGAAAUCUCCGGGCUUAACUCGGAAAGGUCAGCCGAUACUGCUGGGCUCGAGUCCGGAAGAGGCGAGUGGAAUUCCCGGUGUAGCGGUGAAAUGCGCAGAUAUCGGGAGGAACACCAAUGGCGAAGGCAGCUCGCUGGGACGUGACUGACGCUGAGACGCGAAAGCGUGGGGAGCAAACAGG